UACGAAGGGGGCUAGCGUUGCUCGGAAUCACUGGGCGUAAAGGGUGCGUAGGCGGGUCUUUAAGUCAGAGGUGAAAUCCUGGAGCUCAACUCCAGAACUGCCUUUGAUACUGAAGAUCUUGAGUUCGGGAGAGGUGAGUGGAACUGCGAGUGUAGAGGUGAAAUUCGUAGAUAUUCGCAAGAACACCAGUGGCGAAGGCGGCUCACUGGCCCGAUACUGACGCUGAGGCACGAAAGUGUGGGGAGCAAACAGG
rnacentral:rRNA from 1 species